GCCUUCGUGGUGCAACGGUUAGCACACUCUGAGCGUAUUCGAGAGGUCUAGGUUCAAAUCCCGGUGAAGGCA
rnacentral:tRNA from 1 species